AAUCAACGCUGGCGGCGUGCCUAACACAUGCAAGUCGGACGCGAAAGGGGCUUCGGCCCUGAGUAGAGUGGCGUACGGGUGAGUAACGCGUGGGUAAUCUGCCCCCGGGCGGGGAAUAACCAGCCGAAAGGUUGGCUAAUACCGCAUAAUGCAGCGGCUCGGUAUCGAGACAGUUGUUAAAGCAGCAAUGCGCCUGGGGAGGAGCCUGCGUCUGAUUAGGUAGUUGGUGAGGUAACGGCUCACCAAGCCUACGAUCAGUAGCUGGUCUGAGAGGACG
rnacentral:rRNA from 1 species